AUACCAAAAAGAAUACAGAUAUAGUUUGUAUAUUUUGUAGGCAGUUGUUUAAAAACAGCAAAUAAUCGAAAACAAACGAUUAAGAAACAAAACGCUUGAAACCAAGGAGAUAUUAAAACUAGAAAUUUUUAAUAACCUCAUUAACAUUUAUAGACUACCACAGUCAAGUUAGUGUAUUUCAAUCGGACGGGACUUUGCACCAUGAAAAUGAAUGGAUUACUGGAAGUACUCCUGUUCACAUGGAGUCCUUCCUUCUUGGUGCCCGUCGGGCUGUUGGAAGGUAAAGAAGGCCGAUUGUCUAGGCCUGAUCCUUACUGAAUUGUGUCCUGAAUGAGCUCAUAGGGAGGGCAAUUAGCGCCCUCCUUUUCCGGCGCCCGGACUUAGCGUAGGAUUAGAAUAGAUUACUGGAAGGACUCCGGUUCUCACGGAGUCCGUCCUUCUCAUCCAGGGUCACCGACCGGCUGGGUCCGCCUGGUCCUUUCUCAUAGAAUUGUGUCCUGAUUGAGCUCAUAGGGAGGGCAGUUAGCGCCCUCCUUUACCGGCGCCCGGACAUAGCCUAGAAGUAGAAUAGAUUACUGGAAGGACUUCGGUUUUCACGGAGUCCUUCCUUCUCAUCCAGGGUCACCGACCGGCUGGGUCGGCCUGGUCCUUUCUCAUAGAAUUGUGUCCUGAUUGAGCUCAUGGGGAGGGCAGUUAGCGCCCUCCUUUUCCGGCACCCGGACAUAGCCUAGAAGUAGAAUAGACUACUGGAAGGACUCCGGUUCUCACGGGGUCCUUCCUUCUCAUCCAAGGUCACCGACCGGCUGGGCCGCCUGGUCCUUUCUCAUAGAAUUGUGUCCUGAUUGAGCUCGUAGGGAGGGCAGUUAGCGCCCUCCUUUUCCGGCGCCCGGACUUAGCCUAGGACUAGAAUAGAUUACGGGAAGGACUCCGAUUCUCGCGGAGUCUUUCCUUUGGGUCAUUUCGUCAGGUCGUUAGUAUUAGCAACCACACAUUUGAAAUUUCUAGUAAAAAAUAUAUUUUGGUAAACAGGAAUGAAAAUGGAAAUAUCAAAAUCAGAAAUGCAUCACAUAAAAAUUCCUAAAUAUAGAUGUUCAUUUAC